rnacentral:rRNA from 1 species
GAACCGUCCAAACGUUAUUCGGGAAUCACUGGGCUUAAAGGGUGCGUAGGCGGCCUGGCAAGUUGGGGGUGUGAAAUCCCUCGGGCUCAACCGAGGAACUGCGCCCAAAACUGCCAGGCUAGAGGGAGACAGAGGUGAGCGGAACUUAGGGUGGAGCGGUGAAAUGCGUUGAUAUCCUAAGGAACACCAGUGGCGAAAGCGGCUCACUGGGUCUCUUCUGACGCUGAGGCACGAAAGCUGGGGGAGCGAACGGGAUUAGAUACCCCGGUAGUCCUAGCUGUAAACGAUGAGCACUGGGCCGGAGAGUCCUCCAUAGCUUUCCGGCCGUAGCGAAAGUGUUAAGUGCUCCGCCUGGGGAGUAUGGUCGCAAAGGCUG